CCAAAACAUAUGGAAGGUGACAAGAUACUCUUGCCUCACCCACUUCUGCUGACAGGAUUCUAUAUUAAUUCCUUGGUAGGGAUACUCACAGAAAUAGAGAGCACAUGGAGCCACAAAAAUGACAAUAUUAGGAAAAUGCUGAAGCAUCUGAAUAAGUUUAGGUCGGCCCCUUUCUUCAGGCUUUUCAUUUUUCUCACUCAGCUGCUUCUAAGGCAUUGUUUCGUUGACUUCUUUGUGACUUCCAGACCCAAUGUCCUCUGCUUUCCUGCAGGGUCCAGCCCGCUCCUGUCAUCAAGCUUGGGCUAUUUCCUUCCCUCUCCAACUUAGACCACAGGAUCCACCCCGCAAGCAAGAUCCAGCCAAUAUCCUCAAGUAGAAUUGACACAUUCGAUGAGGACAUUGGAAAGAUAGUGGCACAAAGAGCACCUUGAGUUAUUCUCUAAAGACACCACUUUCUUCUCAAUAUCAAAUGACAUAUUUAGUUAGGAAACAGAAGUAAACUGGCAUUGUGGACUCUAUGAUAUUUUAAAGGUUAAUAUUAUUCAUUACUAAACUAAUUAGGCUAAUUGCCUUCUCAGAAAUGUAGAUUUGAAUAUGCUGUAGAUGUUGACAGUUUAUUCCCACAUAGCUGAUGCUGCAAUUGGAGUUUAAUCAGCAAUUCUAUGAUGCUUUCACAUUCAACCUUCAAAUUCAGGCAUUCUUUCUGGGCAAAAGCAUCAGCGAUGUUACUGAGUUUCAACCUUGCCCUCCCCAAGGGGUUUUCAGCUGACAGCAGGGCCUAGUGGCAACAGUCCUGAGAUAGGAGUUGAAGGCCCAGGUCAGUGAGUCCCAAAGUGCCCUUCUUUUAAUAGCAGAAUGAGAAUCCCCCAGGCCCAAUUCAGGGAGCCUUGGAAUCUGCAUUUCCACAAGGUGAUUCUGAUGUAAAAGCACUGAUCAAGAUUUUAUCUUCUUUAUCCUGGGUCAGCCAAGAUAAAGUAUAUAAUCUCUACAUAAAAUACAUUUCUCAACUCCAUGACUUUGAAUUCAAACUUAUAGUGAAAUUCAUUCUCAAAAGCAUUUUCUUGGUUUUAGAUUUUAUUCUUCUUCUUCUUCUUUUGAGUAAACAUCUGCAUUGACAAUGGAACUUGCUAAAAUUACAGGAAACUCAUAAAUACAAUGAAAUAAUCUACAAUCUCUUGCCAUGGGUCACGUAAAUCCAUAUGUAUUAAAAAGAAAUCAAAUUAACAAUUUGAAAAACCAGUCAUGGCCACUCCACAGCAGCCAACAUCAUAAAAUCUACAACUCCAGGGUCUAGAACAUGUUUAGUAAUUUUAUCUAAUAAACUGGAAAAUGUAAAAUGUUUCAUCUCAGGGGAAAAAAUGAUAUUAAAUUUCUGUUACAUUUGGUUCUCUUAUAUCCAUUCAGACCCCUGGAUUCAUAUUCAUGAUGGAUAAACACCUCUUUCUAAGGCCAAGUGAGCCCAUGAGAUGAUAACAUGCUCUCUAAUCCUACUAUUAUUUUCUCUUUGUUUUUUUAUGGUUCUUUUAAUCUGUUUAUCUACAUGACAAGCAAGUAGUAGAAAUAUGUCGAAUUUCUGAGUUCUUAUAGUAUUCUUUUACGACUAGGUAUGACCUAGCUAAUCUUGUUAGCUAGUCGGAACAGUUGGUGAGACAACUGUUUGGCAGCCUCUAUUCAUUUGUUCAUUUGCUUCUUUUACCACCAAAACAUAGGAUGAAAUUUUCUACUGGUUUUAACUUAAUUUUCAUCCCAAGUUAGUGCAACUGGUGUAUGUAUGAAGCCGUAGCUGCAUAACCCGGGUAGGACUGAAGCCAGGAACAUCAGUGCCCAAUCUUAGCUGCCCUGCAGAGCCCAGCUGAGGGGAACGUGCCAGGGUGAUUUGAUCGUUUAGUCUGCUGAAUUAUCUGUCAGAAUUUUUCAGAAUGGAGCUACAAGUGAGGGGUACUGUUUAUAAAGAGGAAACAGCCUCCAUAAGCAAGUAUUAAUUCCAUGAUGAGGAAGCAACCCCAAAAGGUAGAAAUAUUGGCUGGGCGCCGUGGCUUAUGCCUGUAAUCCCAGCACUUUGGGGGGCCAAGGUGGGUGGAUCACCUGAGAUCAGUAGCAAAAUGUAUAGUUCUUUUCGGCAGGUAGAAAAUAAAAUAGGGCUUGUUUCUGGUCCAGUAGGUCCAAGACGAUGGAGCCAGGUGCCUCUCCCAAAGACCCC
rnacentral:lncRNA from 10 species